AUGUGGCCGGAACGAGUUAACGUCGCUAGUGGACAUAAUUCGCAAAAAAAAGUGGUGGUCAACCUCUCCUCUGCCUCCUUGGCAUUUCGCCAAACACAUAGCAGCCGCACCAGAUUGGCAGCCGGUGCAUCCCGCCGGCCGCUGCCCCAACGCUGCGUACGGCUGCUGCUCGCCGCCGGCCGCUGCCCCAACGCUUCGUACUUCUGUUGCUCGCCGCCGGUGCAUACCGCUGGCCGCUGCCCCAACGCUGCGUACUGCUGCUGCUCGCCGCCGGUGCUUGUGCUCGCCACACGUCCAGCUCGCCGCCCCCGCGCUGUAGAGGAUGGAGAGAGCAACCUCGGCGGCUCCCUCGGGGAGAGCUCGGCCGUGCUCUCGACGCCCUCGGGAAUCCCGGCACGCACCGGAGGCAGAGCAGGGCCAUGGCCAUCGCGUCGGUUGUCGGUCCCAGCAUGA
rnacentral:rRNA from 1 species